UGGGGAAUAUUGCACAAUGGGGGAAACCCUGAUGCAGCGACGCCGCGUGAAGGAAGACGUAUUUCGGUAUGUAAACUUCUAUCAGCAAGGAGGAUGAUGACGGUACUUGACUAAGAAGCCCCGGCUAACUACGUGCCAGCAGCCGCGGUAAUACGUAGGGGGCAAGCGUUAUCCGGAUUUACUGGGUGUAAAGGGAGCGUAGGCGGCCAUGCAAGUCAGAAGUGAAAGCCCGGGGCUCAACCCCGGGACUGCUUUUGAAACUGUAGGGCUAGAUUGCCGGAGAGGUGAGCGGAAUUCCUAGUGUAGCGGUGAAAUGCGUAGAUAUUAGGAGGAACACCAGUGGCGAAGGCGGCUCACUGGACGGUAAAUGACGCUGAGGCUCGAAAGCGUGGGGAGCAAACAG
rnacentral:rRNA from 1 species